UACGUAGGGACCAAGCGUUGUUCGGAUUUACUGGGCGUAAAGGGCGCGUAGGCGGCGCGGUAAGUCACUUGUGAAAUCUCUGAGCUUAACUCAGAACGGCCAAGUGAUACUGCAGUGCUAGAGUGUGGAAGGGGCAAUCGGAAUUCUUGGUGUAGCGGUGAAAUGCGUAGAUAUCAAGAGGAACACCUGAGGUGAAGACGGGUUGCUGGGUCAACACUGACGCUGAGGCGCGAAAGCCAGGGGAGCAAACGGG
rnacentral:rRNA from 1 species